rnacentral:rRNA from 1 species
AUUGAACGCUGGCGGCAGGCCUAACACAUGCAAGUCGAGCGGAUGAAGGGAGCUUGCUCCUGGAUUCAGCGGCGGACGGGUGAGUAAUGCCUAGGAAUCUGCCUGGUAGUGGGGGAUAACGUCCGGAAACGGGCGCUAAUACCGCAUACGUCCUGAGGGAGAAAGUGGGGGAUCUUCGGACCUCACGCUAUCAGAUGAGCCUAGGUCGGAUUAGCUAGUUGGUGGGGUAAAGGCCUACCAAGGCGACGAUCCGUAACUGGUCUGAGAGGAUGAUCAGUCACACUGGAACUGAGACACGGUCCAGACUCCUACGGGAGGCAGCAGUGGGGAAUAUUGGACAAUGGGCGAAAGCCUGAUCCAGCCAUGCCGCGUGUGUGAAGAAGGUCUUCGGAUUGUAAAGCACUUUAAGUUGGGAGGAAGGGCAGUAAGUUAAUACCUUGCUGUUUUGACGUUCCCAACAGAAGAAGCACCGGCUAACUUCGU